UACGUAGGGUGCGAGCGUUGUCCGGAAUUAUUGGGCGUAAAGAGCUUGUAGGCGGUCUGUCGCGUCUGCUGUGAAAAUCCGGGGCUCAACCCCGGACUUGCAGUGGGUACGGGCAGACUAGAGUGUGGUAGGGGAGACUGGAAUUCCUGGUGUAGCGGUGAAAUGCGCAGAUAUCAGGAGGAACACCAAUAGCGAAGGCAGCUCGCUGGGACGUUACUGACACUAAGGCGCGAAAGCGUGGGGAGCGAACAGG
rnacentral:rRNA from 1 species